UACAGAGGUCCCAAGCGUUGUUCGGAAUUAUUGGGCGUAAAGGGUGCGUAGGCGGCAGGGUAAGUUAGAUGUGAAAUACCGGGGCUCAACUUCGGAAUUGCAUUUAAGACUGCCUUGCUUGAGUUCUAGAGAGGAGACUGGAAUUUACGGUGUAGCAGUGAAAUGCGUAGAUAUCGUAAGGAAGACCAGUGGCGAAAGCGAGUCUCUGGCUAGAAACUGACGCUGAGGCACGAAAGCUGGGGGAGCAAACGGG
rnacentral:rRNA from 1 species